GGGCUCGUAGCUCAGUUGGGAUGAGCGUUCGGUUCGCAUCCGAAAGGUCGAGGGUUCGACUCCCUUCGAGUCCA
rfam:Faecalibacterium prausnitzii A2-165 genomic scaffold Scfld8, whole genome shotgun sequence.